rnacentral:rRNA from 1 species
GACGAACGCUGGCGGCGUGCUUAACACAUGCAAGUCGAACGGAAAGGCCCUGCUUUUGUGGGGUGCUCGAGUGGCGAACGGGUGAGUAACACGUGAGUAACCUGCCCUUGACUUUGGGAUAACUUCAGGAAACUGGGGCUAAUACCGGAUAGGAGCUCCUGCUGCAUGGUGGGGGUUGGAAAGUUUCGGCGGUUGGGGAUGGACUCGCGGCUUAUCAGCUUGUUGGUGGGGUAGUGGCUUACCAAGGCUUUGACGGGUAGCCGGCCUGAGAGGGUGACCGGCAAAAUGGGGAGGGGGGAAGGGCCAGAAUUCUUAGGGGAGGAAGAGGUGGGGAAAAUUGAAAAAGGGGGGGAGGCGUGAGGCAGAAAGGCGGGGGGGGGGAGGACGGCCUUGGGGUUGUAAACGGCUUUGGCCGGGGAGGAGGGGGGGGGGAGGGAAAUGGGUAAGAAGCACCGGCUAACUACGUG